CCCAAACCCUCGUCAUUCAUAGCCUCUGAUUCCAGAGCGCGGGACACACAGACUUUAGAGAGAGAAACUGCGAAACCGAAAGAGGAAAGAGGAAAGAGGGAAAGAGGAAAGAGGAGAGAGAAUGUUAGAGUGAGACUCAAACUCAACUUCAGUGUUCCAUUUUCUGCAAAAUAAUUACCUCAAACCCUAGAAUUCCAUUCUUAGGGUUCCUUCUUUUCUUUCCAUUUUGCUUUCUCCCGAUCUAUUCUCCAGUUUCCCCCCAGAAUUUUGGUUUCGAUUUCCUCCAACUAGGUCAAUUCUGUCGGAAUUCACAUCUAGGGUUUAUUUUUUUUGUUAGUGGAGUUGCUUGUUUGUCAUAUACUGACCAGCAAUUUUGCUCUCAAUUUUGAGUUUUUCAGGAUGCCUGAAAAAAUGAGUAGGAUGUCGGAUAAAGAUAAAAGCAGAAUUGCUGAAAAAAUGUCUGAAUUCAUUUUGCUAAUGGGGUACAACGCUGAUUUCCAAGUUGUAAUCGCAAAGGAACUUAGUCGCCAUAUAUGGAUGAGUUUAGAAAAUCUAGGUAGGAAGCAAUGUAGAGAGCUUUUGUAUCUUUUAUACAUGGCUGAUAGCGCGACCUUGUUAUCCUAUACGGUUUCGCUGGGGAAGUUAAUAUGGGCUAAUCAUUUGAGGGCCAAACGAAGGGCUCUCAAAAGGAAACUUUCAGAGAAGAUAAAACAGCGGGAGCUGGGAAGAGAGAAGAGGAAGAUGAGAGGAAGGGUGAGGUUAGUGGUGAUCAUGAGCAGAGGAGGGAAACAAUGUAAAGCAAACCCGGGAUUUUGGUCGAGGAUAGGGUUUCACAUGAGGCCCAGAUUCGUGUUCAAGAACACAAAGCAUAGGGUUGUAAAGCGCAAUGUAGAGGUUGGUAGUCGUGUAUAUAGGCUUGCUCUUGCUAUGGGGUUUUUGUCGUUCCGAAAUCUCUGUGUCACGUCCGAGUGGGAGUUUUGGGCUGUCUGCCUUGUUCAGCAAGUCUUUGGCUUUUGGAGGAGUAUUUCCAUUGGAGGAGGGCUGAGUGGUUAUUUUAUAAAUGUUGCUCAGGAGUUUGGGUUGGAUGUGGUUUCAUGUGAGGUUUUUGAGCGCCUUCAAAGCUGUUUCCGAUGUUCAUCCACAACUCGCUAUCCAGGAUAUGGAAGAGAAUAUCCAUAGGGUUGGAGAUAUGAGCACGUGAAGGUUUUACGCUGAUGGAAUUGCGAUGGGGCUUCUACCGGAAUGCAUUAGUCAUGUGUGUCUGAUCUGACUGAAGACUGAAGAAUGAAGAGUUUUUGCUUUCCAUUUUUAGGAUGCGGCAUUUUAAUGGCAUAACUAAUGUACUCCCGCUACUCCGUACUUCCUUUCUGUGGGAACUGCAAAAUGGCGUCGUGAUUCAGUUGGCGGUAAUUUUUUGAUGCCUUCUUUUGGUUGUUCAGAGAGCUCAAGUUUCAUACAAGGUAUUGUCAUGUCGCAGGUAACAUCGUGCCAAGCAGACGCGUCAAGUGAGACGACAGGCGACAAGGCUUAGGCGACACAGGACCAGCGACGAAGCACUAGCGACAAGGAAGUAACGACGAUCGACGGGCAAACAAGCGGGGAUAGGUAAAGAUCCAAGCCCGAAGCCCAAGAUAGACUGCGCCGUUAUAUGAGCGAAAGGAGUCCAAGGAUUUACCAAAGAAUACGGAAUUUGUUGGAGACGGGAAAAGAUCAUGGGCAACGGCCAAUAGGAGAUCUCUACCUUCUAGGGAUUCUCCUAACCAAUGAAGCCGUUGCGUUCUGCGUAUAAAAGCAUGGCGGCAGUUGAUAUAUGCGUUUUAUAUAGUGUUUUCACCCCCGUCCCUUAGUACUUUUAUGCGUCAAAUGAGCUCUUAGGAGCUGUUUUUAGUACUAAUCUGUGUAUUUGAGUGUGCCUUGA